GACGAACGCUGGCGGCGUGCCUAAUACAUGCAAGUCGAACGGAAAGACGCUGCUCUUGCUGGUCUCUCGAUUGGCGAACGCGUGUGUAACACGCGUGUAACCUGCCCUUGUCUUUCGGAUAACACUAGGAAACUGGGGCUAAAACCCCAUAGGAUCUCCUGAUCCACGGUGUGCGUUGGAAAGUUUCGGCGGUUGUGGAUCGUUUGGCUGCUUAUCCGCUGGUUGGUGGGGUAGUGGAUUACCCAGGCUUCGACGGCUAGCCGGCCUGAGAGGGUGGCCGGCGACAUUGGGACUGAGAUACGGACCAGAAUGGUACGGGAGGCAGCGGUGGGAAAUAUGACAGAGUGGGCGGAAGCGAGUGGCGACAGCGCCGCGUGCGGGAUGCCGGCCUUCGAGUUGUAAACCGCUUUCGAAGGAAACGUGGAGUGAGUGACGGUAAUGAGUAAAGAAGCAACGGCUAACUACGUG
rnacentral:rRNA from 1 species